UCUUGUUUGCUGAGGCUCUGCUGGAGUCCUC
rnacentral:piRNA from 1 species